CCUACGGGUGGCAGCAGUGAGGAAUAUUGGUCAAUGGCCGGAAGUCUGAACCAGCCAAGCCGCGUGAAGGAUGACGGUGCCAAGCAUUGUAAACUUCUUUUGUCAAAGGAUAAAAUCCGACUCGAGAGCCUGAUCGAAGGUAUUUUAAGAAAAAGCAUCGGCUAACUCCGUGCCAGCAGCCGCGGUAAUACGGAGGAUGGGAGCGUUAUCCGGUUUUAUUGGGUUUAAAGGGUGCGUAGGCGGUUUGUUAAGUAAGGGGGAAAAGGUCGGGGCUCAACCCCGAAGAGCCGGUUAAACUGGCUGUCUUGAGAAGAGGAGAGGUAGGCGGAAUGCGCGGUGUAGCGGUGAAAUGCUUAGAUAUUGCACAGAACUCCGAUUGCGAAGGCAGCUUACCGGAGGCGAUCUGACGCUGAGGCACGAAAGCGUGGGUAUCGAACAGGAUUAGAUACCCGUGUAGUC
rnacentral:rRNA from 1 species